rnacentral:tRNA from 1 species
GUAGACGUAGUCAAGUGGACCAAGGCAGUGGAUUGUGAAUCCACCACGCACGGGUUCAAUUCCUGUCAUUCUCC